rnacentral:sRNA from 1 species
UAGUGGCCCGGUUGCGUGGCUCAGCCCACAC